rnacentral:rRNA from 1 species
CCUACGGGAGGCAGCAGUAGGGAAUCUUCCGCAAUGGACGAAAGUCUGACGGAGCAACGCCGCGUGAGCGAAGAAGGCCUUCGGGUCGUAAAGCUCUGUUGUUAGGGAAGAACAAGUACGAGAGUAACUGCUCGUACCUUGACGGUACCUAACCAGAAAGCCACGGCUAACUACGUGCCAGCAGCCGCGGUAAUACGUAGGUGGCAAGCGUUGUCCGGAAUUAUUGGGCGUAAAGCGCGCGCAGGCGGUCCUUUAAGUCUGAUGUGAAAGCCCACGGCUCAACCGUGGAGGGUCAUUGGAAACUGGGGGACUUGAGUGCAGAAGAGGAGAGUGGAAUUCCACGUGUAGCGGUGAAAUGCGUAGAGAUGUGGAGGAACACCAGUGGCGAAGGCGACUCUCUGGUCUGUAACUGACGCUGAGGCGCGAAAGCGUGGGGAGCAAACAGGAUUAGAUACCCUGGUAGUCCACGCCGUAAACGAUGAGUGCUAAGUGUUAGGGGGUUUCCGCCCCUUAGUGCUGCAGCUAACGCAUUAAGCACUCCGCCUGGGGAGUACGGCCGCAAGGCUGAAACUCAAAGGAAUUGACGG